AACGCAACACCCUGCUACAACUAAACUCUCUGUGAAGCGAAAAGGUAUGGACUGUAGGUGCGAGUAAAAAUGACAACAAGCAGAAUGUGGUACCGAUUACAAGGACUUUAUUCCUUUACACGGUAAUAUGGGGGAAAAGGGGCUGGACAGAACCAAAGCAAAGAAAGUAAAUCUCAAAGCCCCCCUCUCUAUCUUACCUGCCUACCCACUACUUACCUAAUUUAGCACCACCUGGUGCCCUAACCAAAAUACAAGGGGUGGUCCGCCCAGGUCUUACCUAGUGUGCCUAGACAGCGAAUAUGCUACGGGUAUAUGUAUGCCCGCGGGCCUCUUGCCUAAGCACUCCCUAGGUGCCUUCCCCUUCCCCCCUGGGAACAAAUGAAACAGAAUAUUAAACAAUUUCACAAACAAACUAAGAGACAAAGGACAUCAAAUAAGUUCUAUCUGAGCAACAAACUCACAAAACAUACCAACUCUCAGCAAUGAACUCCCAGCAAAAUCAACCUCUAGCAAAAUCCUCUACAAAAUAUCUCUCUAGCAAAUUUACCUCCAGCAAAAUCCUCUACAAAAAAAGAGAAUCUUUUUUUCUGAACAGAACACUGGUUUUUAUAUAGCUUCUGAAGGAAUGGGUAAUUGGAGACAGCUGUGUCUUGACGAGGGGGCGGGGUCAGCUCUCCAAUUAGCCCUGGAGUCGACCAAUCAGCUGCUUGAGGGAUUUCAGGAAGCCAUUUCCUGAAAUAAACACAUGCAAAUACACAAACUACAACACAUAAUCUGGGGAACGUAACAAUGUCAUUAUUAUUAUUGCAGUGAGAUAGUCAAGGUAAAACAGUGUUUUGUUUUUCUUACAUAGGAAUUCACUCAUGGACCUGGUAUCUUAAUGUGAGUCAUGUAGUUGUGACUCAACAGAAAAAUAAUAACAGUUAUAAAAUUACAACAAAAAUUCAACUGUAAUUUAAAUAUUCCAAAGAUUUUCAAAACAUAUUUCAGUGCUGCUGUUAGAUUCAUAUCAACCAUUUAGGUGUUUGGCCUUUUGCGAUUAGUUUCGGAUGAUUUUGGCUUUGUUUUUUGUUUAUUACAUACAAUGUUUGUUCUUCGUGAUUAUUCUGAAGGUGCUCCAUAGAUUGCCAAGCCGAUAUAAUGGACAUUGUUUUAGAGGCAGAUGUACUACUGUGAUGUUGUUCACUACAGUUAGCUAGGUAGGUAGAUAUAUAGGCGGAUAGAUAUAAUUCUACAUUGAUUGUACACUAAAUACAGUUGUACAUUUGAUAUAGUCUAUUAUUAGAUGUAUUUUAAGGUGUGUAUAAUGUCUGCUGUUAACACCUCUGUAGCGGCUGAUGUCAGUGCAGUUGUACAUUUGUUCAUGAAUGGCUAGAUAAAUAGGUAGGUAGAUAAAUAGGUAGGUAGGUAGCUAGAUAUUGUAGGUAGGUAGCUAGAUAAAUAGGUAGGUAGCUAAAUAGGUAGGUAGGUAGGUAGGUAGAUAUUGUAGGUAGGUAGCUAGAUAUUGUAGGUAGGUGGGUAGAAAUUGUAAGUAGGUAGUUAGAUAUUGUAGGUAGGUAGAUAUUGUAGGUAGGUAGUUAGAUAUACUAGGUAGGAAGUUAGAUAUUGUAGGUAGGUAGUCAGAUACUGUAGGUAGGUAGGUAGAUAUUGUAGGUAGGUAUGUAUAUAUCUUCUAGGUAGGUAGAUAUAUACAUAUUGCAGGUAAGUAGUACUCUAGGUAGAUAGAUAUUGUAGAUAGGUAGGUACUCUAGGUAGAUAGAUAUUGUAGAUAGGUAGGUACUCUAGGUAGAUAGAUAUUGUAGAUAGGUAGGUACUCUAGGUAGAUAUAUAUUGUAGGUAGAUAGGUACUCUAGGUAGAUAGAUAUUGUAGAUAGGUAGGUACUCUAGGUAGAUAUAUAUUGUAGGUAGAUAGGUACUCUAGGUAGAUAGAUAUUAUAGGUAGAUAGGUAUUUUUGUAGUUUGAUGUUUACAAAUUAUAACGUCUACAUUUUGGAAUAGAAACAACAAGCCACUGAGAUGCUCAUCUCUUCUGCAGAAAACCUGCAUUGACUUAACUUAGCGUCCCGUCAACCUCACGAUAUUGGUUUAACUUCACAUCUGCUGAUGACACAUCCUGAAAGACAACCAGCUGGUUUUCCUCGGCGUGACAUCAUCAAACUGCAACAUACUCGGCUCGACCUCGAAAACACAGUGAUGAUUAGGUUGUCUGUCCUGCUACUGUACGACAGCGAAGUGAAAUGUAUUUAUUAAUUUGUUUCUUUAAUUUUUUGGGGGGGAGAGGGGACCUAUUUAUAUUUCGCAGAUUAAUUUGCUAGUGCAACCACUCUUUGGGUUCUUCACAGGUAAACAUAGAUCAACCGAUCAAUCCCCAAAGAAAGAACUAUGGCAGGUACUGUGGCAAAUUGACGAAUACGUUUAUAAAGCUACCAGCGAACUGUUAAAAAAAAAAAAUCUUAUUUCCAAAAGUUUGACUCUUCUAUACCUUAAAACAUCUGACCUGGCUAAAGGUUAGGAUGCCCCGGUGACUGGAAACACAAUGUAUUCUCCUUCAACAAAUACAACACUGGUAUGUAUCAAUAAACUGUUGCUUCAUUGAAAAUGCAUCUGAAUACAACAUUAUUUCAGCACAAGAUUGAUGGGAAUAAACACAGAUCUAUAUGAGCCAGGCUUCACCUCACCUUGCCCCCCGAGACAUACACUAUUACACACAUCACAUACAGUAAAGAAUAGGAAGGAGUAUAGGCUGGAGAUUAGGAAGGAGUAUAGGCUGGAGAUUAGGAAGUAUAGGCUGGAGAUUAGGAAGGAGUAUAGGCUGGAGAUUAGGAAGGAGUAUAGGCUGGAGAUUAGGAAGUAUAGGCUGGAGAUUAGGAAGGAGUAUAGGCUGGAGAUUAGGAAGGAGUAUAGGCUGGAGAUUAGGAAGGAAAUAUAGGCUGGAGAUUAGGAAGGAGUAUAGGCUGGAGAUUAGGAAGGAGUAUAGGCUGGAGAUUAGGAAGGAGUAUAGGCUGGAGAUUAGGAAGGAGUAUAGGCUGGAGAUUAGGAAGGAGUAUAGGCUGGAGAUUAGGAAGGAGUAUAGGCUGGAGAUUAGGAAGGAGUAUAGGAAGGAGUAAAGGAAGGAGGAUAGGAAGGAUGGUUCAAGCCCUGAAUGCUGAUUGGCUGGCAGCCGUGGUAUGUCAGACCAGGUAUGACAAAAUGUAUUUUUACUGCUUGAAUUACGUUGGUAAUAUUAAUAAGGUACCUCGGGGGUGUGUGGUAUAUGGCCAAUAUAACACGGCUAAGGGCUGUAUCCAGGCACUCCACAUUGCGUUGUGCGUAAGAACAGCC
ensembl:lncRNA